UGUCCGACGGGUGCAGAGAAUUAGAGCUUUCUCUCUCUCUCUCUCUCUCUCUCUUUCUCAAACUCUCUCUGGGUAGCAAAGCAGGGAAUAGUCGUCACUCAAGGACUAACCAGUGGUGAGACUGCAUAAUCAGGCAGAGUGGUUCCUGCAGUCCAAGUCUGUCUGAUCACAGCAAGCUUCAGUUCGCAGGGUGGACAGCUGCCGGGCACCAGCUGAUGAAGAUCAUGGAUUCGAUCGACAUCAAAUUCCAGCACAAAUAAAAGAUCCAGAUGAAUGCAAUAAUUUAUCCAGACGCAUAACGGCACAACAGGUCACCGGUGACACAACGGAGCAACUCUCCACAAAGAUCUGGCAACCAGCAGGUCAUAACCAAUAUGAUGCGCUGGAUUACAAAAAAAAAAAAAAAAAAAAAAAAAACUUUGCCAAAAGUGCCUAUUGUAAACUCAAGCACAAACAGUUCCCAGGCCCCUCAGAAACUGCACACAGCGUUCAGACAAGAAAAAGGGGAGGGGGGCGUCCGCUUAAAACCGCUUCUGGAUCUUGAUGUAAGCUUUCUGAAUGUGCAGUUUCGUCCCUUGGUUCUAGACAAUCUGCUCUAAAUCACUCCAGGUUGAUUAAAAUCCUCCCAUCCAGAAGUGUAGGGUUCUCCAGUCCAGAUAGAGCUCAGUCCAAGAUGGCUGCGUGCUGGCUGAUGGUGCCAAGCCAAACCCAGCGCAGCGCAGCGCAGCCGGAGGAAGUGAGGACAGAGGCGGCUGCACGAGCUCAUUGGCCGGCGCGCCGCUGUUUGUUGUUGCUGGGGUGAUUACUAAGGAGAAAAAUGUACCUGUCUGUCGCACAAAAACCCGGCAAAAUUACUCAGUGCUCCGUGGUAGCAUCGCCCAUCCCAGUGACGCUCGUGACCAUGAGCAUGUAGGACUGUGGAGAGCAUGUAACUAGUUCAGAAAAAGUCUGUGAAUGUUUUACCUUGUUCCAUAGUACAGUGUACACAGUAACAUGUACACUGGAGUACAAAGUAAAUACUGUGUUAAAAUAAAUACAAAUAAAAAUCACUACGCUAGUA